GACGAACGCUGGCGGCGUGCUUAACACAUGCAAGUCGAACGGAAAGGCCCUGCUUUUGUGGGGUGCUCGAGUGGCGAACGGGUGAGUAACACGUGAGUAACCUGCCCUUGACUUUGGGAUAACUCCAGGAAACUGGGGCUAAUACCGGAUAGGAGCUCCUGCUGCAUGGUGGGGGUUGGAAAGUUUCGGCGGUUGGGGAUGGACUCGCGGCUUAUCAGCUUGUUGGUGGGGUAGUGGCUUACCAAGGCUUUGACGGGUAGCCGGCCUGAGAGGGUGGCCGGCCACAUUGGGACUGAGAUACGGCCCAGACUCCUACGGGAGGCAGCAGUGGGGAAUAUUGCACAAUGGGCGGAAGCCUGAUGCAGCAACGCCGCGUGCGGGAUGACGGCCUUCGGGUUGUAAACCGCUUUCGCCUGUGACGAAGCGUGAGUGACGGUAAUGGGUAAAGAAGCACCGGCUAACUACGUG
rnacentral:rRNA from 1 species